CCUACGGGAGGCAGCAGUGGGGAAUUUUGGACAAUGGGCGCAAGCCUGAUCCAGCAAUGCCGCGUGAGUGAAGAAGGCCUUCGGGUUGUAAAGCUCUUUUGUCAGGGAAGAAACGGUGGGGGCUAAUAUCUCCUACUAAUGACGGUACCUGAAGAAUAAGCACCGGCUAACUACGUGCCAGCAGCCGCGGUAAUACGUAGGGUGCAAGCGUUAAUCGGAAUUACUGGGCGUAAAGCGUGCGCAGGCGGUCUUGUAAGUCUGUCGUGAAAGCCCCGGGCUCAACCUGGGAAUUGCGAUGGAGACUGCAAGGCUUGAAUCUGGCAGAGGGGGGUAGAAUUCCACGUGUAGCAGUGAAAUGCGUAGAGAUGUGGAGGAACACCGAUGGCGAAGGCAGCCCCCUGGGUCAAGAUUGACGCUCAUGCACGAAAGCGUGGGGAGCAAACAGGAUUAGAUACCCUGGUAGUCCACGCCCUAAACGAUGUCUACUAGUUGUCGGGUUUUAAUUAACUUGGUAACGCAGCUAACGCGUGAAGUAGACCGCCUGGGGAGUACGGUCGCAAGAUUAAAACUUNAAAAGGAAUUGACGGNUUGAGAGNGCGAGACGACACGAGGAGAGG
rnacentral:rRNA from 1 species